CCUACGGGAGGCAGCAGUGGGGAAUAUUGCACAAUGGAGGGAACUCUGAUGCAGCGACGCCGCGUGAGUGAAGAAGUAAUUCGUUAUGUAAAGCUCUAUCAGCAGGGAAGAAAGUGACGGUACCUGAAAAAGAAGCUCCGGCUAAAUACGUGCCAGCAGCCGCGGUAAUACGUAUGGAGCAAGCGUUAUCCGGAUUUACUGGGUGUAAAGGGAGAGUAGGUGGCAGAGCAAGUCCGAAGUGAAAACCCAAAGCUCAACUAUGGGAAUGCUUUAGAAACUGCUCAGCUGGAGUGCAGGAGAGGCAAGUGGAAUUCUUAGUGUAGCGGUGAAAUGCGUAGAUAUCACGAAGAACCCCGAUGGCGAAGGCAGCCUGCCGCAGCGUUACUGACGCUGAAGCUCGAAAGCGCGGGUAUCGAACAGGAUUAGAUACCCGAGUAGUC
rnacentral:rRNA from 1 species